GUAUAAAUAGGAACGCCUUGGGCUUGCUCGGUCUUUUGAGGGAAUGUCUUUGCUCUGUACUUGAGGCUUCUGCCUUCGUUCAAGAUUUCGGCUAACUUGAUUUGAGGAAAGAAGAGGAGCUGCCUCACUUUUUUGGAAGUUGACAAUGCUUUUUGGGUUCUCCAUUUGACUGGGAAAUUUGGUGCAGUGAAAACUAUUUCUGGAAGAUAAGUAACUGCCCUUGGGAGUACAGAAAGAACAGGACAGAGAUGCAAAUUCUCGGUCAUAACCCCAGAUCUGUAUUAACUGGUUGACUAAUAGAAUGUUCCAUUGGUCAGGUGACCCCUUGAAAUUUAUAAGGGAUUACAAAAAAUGCUGAACAUGGGCAGGUCUAAUAAGACAGUAUGGUUGUUGGACCAAGAAAACUUGGAACUAAAAUGAUACUUGAGUCUAGCCAGUGUGGCUCAGUAAUUGUCAACCCAUACACCCAGAGGUCGCUGGUUUGAUUCCGAGUCAGGACACAUGCCCAGGUUGUGGGCCCAAUCCCCAGUGGGGGGCAUGCAGGAGGAAGCCAAUAGAUGUUACUAUCUCCCUUCCUAACUGCACAGCUGAAUUAACAGAAGGCAGAAUCCCAUGAGAACCUAGAUGUCUUUAUUAAAGAUACAUUUCUAAUGUAUGAAUUACAAUAAAAGUGACUAUGUUAUAAUAAAGAUGACUGUGUUAAGUGUGGUUUCUUUUUUUUAUAUAGAAGUGAUUGGUGUCAGCCAAAACUGUUCCAUGAAUGGAGUGCUAUAGCAGUUAAUACCUCAUUGGUUCCACCCUAAAGACCCUUAGCUCUUACCUGCCCCCUGUAUCCUCUUGUGCUCUUUGUGUUUUAACUUUAUUUUUUUAAUUGGAGAUCAUUUUAUAGUAUGGGACAGAUUGGGGUGGUACCAGGGUCUAUAGUGAUGAAUUUCCCUGGGGUAAACAGCAUUGGCACAUACAGGACAGGGAAACAAAGCCAAGUGGGUCAAAGGCCCAGGCCCAACCUCAGUAGCUAUGACCUGGGGACCUGGGGGAUGAGCAGGGUGUUGGUCCCAUAGCUCCUGUUAGGCUAUCAAUUCCCAGUUAGCAAACACUUGAGCCUAGAAUAGAGUUGCCAUGAGUGAUGUGAGGUUGGGUCACAAUGGGGGUGAAGCUCUUGUACAGGCUGCCAGCACUGUAGGUGUGUAAUCAGCCCUGAAGGAUGGGGACAAGUGGGGAACCAUCUAGAAGGUAGAGUCUAGAUCCUGGUGGCGCUAAGGGAACAUAGUAUGGGGAGGUAGAAUGGCCAUGAAACCAUUCAGAAAUCCUUGGGGUCAGAUUUAAGGGAAGUGUGAAAUUUGGGUUUUAGUGGGUCCAAAUUGAUGUGUACUGUCCAGAUGGAGCGUUACAUAAAUGGUGUUCAGGGUCAGAGCAUAAUAGAUUUGGGAAUGGGAGCUAUUUCAUAUAGCCAUAAUUAUGGAGAGCAGCCUGGGAGAACUUGUUGAUUGCUUGGACAGGUAGCACUUGCAUAUGUUAAUCCCCACAAUUUUGAAGUGAGUGUUAAUCUAAUAACCUAGUUUCAGAUGAAAAAAUUGAAAGGCUAAUUUGCCCAAAAUCACAGCUAGUAAGGAGUCUGCACAGCAAAGGUAACACCACCAUCCCCACCCAGGCAGACUUGCUGGAAGAGAGCCAGAUGCAGGGCAGGGUCCUGUUCAUCCCUAGGACCAGCCCUCAUCUUGGUAUCUGCCACUUCCUGUCUGGAGAAUAGGUGCUCAGCUUUU